GAUGAACGCUGGCGGCGUGCCUAAUACAUGCAAGUCGAGCGAACAGACGAGGAGCUUGCUCCUCUAACGUUAGCGGCGGACGGGUGAGUAACACGUGGAUGACCUACCUAUAAGACUGGGAUAACUUCGGGAAACCGGAGCUAAUACCGGAUAAUAUAUUGAACCGCAUGGUUCAAUAGUGAAAGACGGUUUUGCUGUCACUUAUAGAUGGAUCCGCGCCGCAUUAGCUAGUUGGUAAGGUAACAGCUUACCAAGGCAACGAUGCGUAGCCGACCUGAGAGGGUGAUCGGCCACACUGGAACUGAGACACGGUCCAGACUCCUACGGGAGGCAGCAGUAGGGAAUCUUCCGCAAUGGGCGAAAGCCUGACGGAGCAACGCCGCGUGAGUGAUGAAGGUCUUCGGAUCGUAAAACUCUGUUAUUAGGGAAGAACAAAUGUGUAAGUAACUAUGCACGUCUUGACGGUACCUAAUCAGAAAGCCACGGCUAACUACGUG
rnacentral:rRNA from 1 species